CGAAAGCCUGACGGAGCAAUACCGCGUGAGGGAGGAAGGCCUUUGGGUUGUAAACCUCUUUUCUCAGGGAAGAAGAUCUGACGGUACCUGAGGAAUAAGCAUCGGCUAACUCCGUGCCAGCAGCCGCGGUAAUACGGAGGAUGCAAGCGUUAUCCGGAAUUAUUGGGCGUAAAGCGUCCGCAGGUGGUUUUUCAAGUCUGCUGUCAAAGACCAGAGCUCAACUCUGGACCGGCAGUGGAAACUGGGAAACUAGAGUCCGGUAGGGGUAGCGGGAAUUCCCAGUGUAGCGGUGAAAUGCGUAGAUAUUGGGAAGAACAUCGGUGGCGAAGGCGCGCUACUGGACCGGAACUGACACUCAGGGACGAAAGCUAGGGGAGCGAAAGGGAUUAGAUACCCCUGUAGUCCUAGCUGUAAACGAUG
rnacentral:rRNA from 1 species